rnacentral:rRNA from 1 species
UACGAAGGGGGCUAGCGUUGCUCGGAAUGACUGGGCGUAAAGGGCGCGUAGGCGGAUGCUUUGUCGGGCGUGAAAUUCCAGGGCUCAACCUUGGGGCUGCGUUCGAGACGGGUAUUCUAGAGUGGGGAAGAGGGUCGUGGAAUUCCCAGUGUAGAGGUGAAAUUCGUAGAUAUUCGGAAGAACACCAGUGGCGAAGGCGACUUACUGGACGAUUGUUGACGCUGAGGUGCGAAAGCGUGGGGAGCAAACAGG